GAGCAUGACCUGGUCCAGUUUCAGUUCUCGGCAACUGGCUCCCAACAUACAGUUCCCAAAGGCUGCCUGAAUCUUCCCCAGGCCUGGAAAAAUCCUCUCCUCAUGAUCAGUGGCUUCUGGUGAGAAAUCCCAAAGCAAGGAAAAAGCAUGAAAAGAGAACAGGAGUUGGUGCAGGCAGAGAGAAACAAGAAGAGGGCAGGUGGAGAAAGCAAGGCAGAAGAAGACAUGUCCAAAGUCAUAACUAGAAAGGAAAGAAGGUAUCAAGAAGAGCAAUUGCAAAUGGGAGGAGAGAUGGGAAGAAAAGAUAUAAUGAGAUCUUCUAUUGAAGAGAAUAUACGUGGUGACAUUCAGACCUAUGAAAGAAGUUGGGAACAAAUGACAACGUGUCUUCAGAAAUGCUCCUGGUGCUCUUUAGAUCACCUGGACCUGCUGUGGCUCAGCCUCACUGGCAGGGUGCCUCUGUCCCCAAAAAGAAAGAAGCUCCAGGCAGCCAGCCCAGCUGGUUCCCAUAGGUACUAGCAAAAUAAAUCCCUGGGAGAGAGAUCUAACA
ensembl:lncRNA